CCUACAUCAGCCGAGGGGGCCCUGGGAGAAGCCGCCCCCAUUCAGAUGGCCCUGCUCGGAAAAUCAGCUGCAGCAGGCUCAGGCCAAGGGCUCCUAGGCUCCGAGGCACUUCACUGACUCCUCCCAGGGCUUCUCAUCACCUUUCCAGGACGAGCAGAAGCAGCUGUGUUUGGUUUUGGAGGAUCUGACCGCCUGUGCGCCUCUCCUGGACCGCAGGGAGCAGGCCACCAGCUGAUUACGAGCCCCUGGCCUGGGGAGCCAGGCCCGCUGCCCGCCCGCAGCUCAGCUCCCCCCAAGCAGGUUUUCGUGCAAACUCUAACUUUUGGAAGCUCAUGGCGUGGGGAUUCCAAGAGCCUGGGGUGCUUGUCUGAUUGGCCAGAAGACAUCAAGCUGAAGCCCUCGGCCCCAGGAGCCCCGACACACAGGAGACCGCCUGGAGUGCAAGUGGCCUGGCCUGCCGACCCCCACCCACCUGGAGGUCUGGGCUUCUACCCAUUCAGGGAGCGGGGCCUUCACGCCCCACAGAGUCCACCUGAAAUAAGGCAGACGCCAAAGGACAGACUUCAUAUGAGUCCAGCGAUAGGGCGGCCAGAAUCAGCUCAUCCAUGGGGAUGGGCAGCAGAUCAGGGUGGCCGGCGGGUGUGCGGAGGGCAUCACUGCCCUCUGGGUAGUUUCCGUUUGAGAUGCAGAAGCGGUUUUGGAAGUGCAUAGGGGUGGUGGCCCAGAGGGGCGUGGGGAGGGGAGUCACUGCCCUCUGGGUAGUUUCCAUUUGAGAUGCAGAAGCGGUUUUGGAAGUGCAUAGGGGUGGUGGCCCAGAGGGGCGUGGGGAGGGGAGUCGCUGCCCUCUGGGUAGUUUCCAUUUGAGAUGCAGAAGCGGUUUUGGAAGUGCAUAGGGGUGGUGGCCCAGAGGGGCGUGGGGAGGGGAGUCGCUGCCCUCUGGGUAGUUUCCAUUUGAGAUGCAGUUUUGGAAGGGGAUGGAGCUGGUGGCUUUAUGAUGUCGCGAGUGUCAUUAGUGCCACCAAAUCGUACACUCGAAAUGGCCAACGUGGCACGUUUAGCACGAAAGGAACGCAGUCGGCCUCCUGAAUCCGUGGGUUCUGUAUCCAUGGAUUCCACCAAACUUUGAUCCAAAAUAUUUGGGUGAAAGCUGUGUCUGUACCAAACAUACGCAGACAUUUUUCUUGUCACUAUUCACUAAACAACACCAUACAGCCGAGAUUCCCUAAGCACUGGCACCACGUCGGGUACUGGGCGCCACCCAGAGGUGACUGACAGCAUCAGGAAGAGGCGCGCAGGUUCUAGGCAGACACUAGGCCAUUUUACACCAGGACUAGGGAACCUGCCAAUUUCAGGAUCUGAGGGAUCCCGACAGCAAUCCCGGUGGAUCUCGAGGGAUGACUGCGCCACGGGAGGAUCAAUGGCUUACAUGUGAAAAGCAAAACUGUAAAAAAAUGUUCAUUGAGCAUUUGCUCUGUACCAGACACAGUUCUUAGCACUUUCAAAGCAACAGCGUACAAAACACCUGCUGUCUGCCCUCCUGGGGCCCAGUUCUGGAGACGGGCGGGGGGCAGGAGUUGUCAUCACAGGUAAGCAAAUCACUCCAGUGAAACUCAUCAAGGGGAGGGGUUUCGGGGAGGGGGUGUGCAAAGAGGGGCGGCUGCAUCCACACCUGAUUUAAAAUGAGGUUGCCACGAGUGGGGAAGGUGACAACGUUUCCACAGACCUGAAGGAAGUAGAGACAUCGACGGAGGUUUCAUCCUGAGGUCCGAAACCAGUAUGUAAGAAAACACAUUUUGUGUCUUUAUGAAACUGGGGAGUGUCAGUUACAACACUUCGUUUUUAGAAAGAAACACGAUGAAUCCACACAGGAUUUUUGGAAGUUGCUUUUCAGACAACAUGGCUGAAUUGCCACAACAUAAGGCUUCUAUGUGUGACUUUCAAAGCCUGAUCCAAAAGGCAAUUUUUCAACCAAAAAAAUAAUUUUUCUUGAAUUUCCUAAGCAGUUCUCUUUCCUUAAAAAAAAUAAAUUUUUAGGUGAACUGUGGUGGCUCAUGCCUGUAAUCCCUUUGGGAGGUCAAGGCGGGCAAAUCACCUGAUGUCAGGAGUUUGAGACCAUCCUGGCCAACAUGGUGAAAUCCCGUCUCUACUAAAAAUACAAAAAUUUGCUGGGCUUGGUUUUGGGUCCCUGUAAUACCAGCUACUCCAAGGCUGAGGCAGGCGGAGAUUGCAGUGAGCUGAGAUCAUGCCACUGCACUCCAGCCUGGGUAACAAGAGCAAAACUCCAUUUAAAGAUUAAAAAUUAAAAUAAAUAAUAAAAUAAAAUAAAAAUAAAUCAUCCAGUAUUUUUUUUUUUUUUUUUUCUGGGACAGAGUUUUGCUCUUGUUACCCAGGCUGGAGUGCAAUGGUGCAAUCUCGGCUCACCACAACCUCUGCCUCCUGGGUUCAGGCAAUUCUCCUGCCUCAGCCUCCUGAGUAGCUGGGAUUAUAGGCACGUGCCACUGUGCCCAGCUAAUUUUUUGUAUUUUUAGUAGAGACGGGGUUUACCAUGUUGACCAGGAUGGUCUUGAGCUCUUGACCUUGUGAUCCACCAGCCUUGGCCUCCCAAAGUGCUGGGAUUAUAGGCGUGAGCCACUGCGCCCGGCCCGUCAUUUUUUUUUUUAAAGAUGAAGUCUCACUGCGUUGCCCAGGCUGGUCUCUUAACUCCUGGGUUCAAGCAAGUGCCCACCUCUUCCUCCACCUCCCACAGUGUUGGGAUUACAGGCAUCAGCCUCUGCGCCUGGGCCUACACACUUAUCUUUUUUUUUUUUUGAGACGGAGUUUCGCUCUUGUUACCCAGGCUGGAGUGCAAUGGCGCGAUCUCGGCUCACCGCAACCUCCGCCUCCUGGGUUCAGGCAAUUCUCCUGCCUCAACCUCCCGAGUAGCUGGGAUUACAGGCACGCGCCACCAUGCCCAGCUAAUUUUUUGUAUUUUUAGUAGAGACAGGGUUUCACCAUGUUGACCAGAAUGGUCUCGAUCUCUUAACCUCGUGAUCCACCCAUCUCGGCCUCCCAAAGUGCUGGGAUUACAGGCUUGAGCCACUGCGAUACACACUUAUCUUAAUUGCUUGACAUUUAAAUCAUUUUCUUUUGAGGCCUGUUUUGUCUUUGUGCUUGUCACAAGGUCCUCAGACCCCAGAGCAGCAGCAGCCGCCGCACGCUGGGGCUCGUUUGAAACGGGAAUUCCUGGGCUGCGUCCCAGACCUGCUGAAGGAGAGCACCUAAGGAUGGGUGCAGAGACCUGAGUUCCACCACAGUCCGUGACCCCAUCUUCACGAAAGCCAGCGUUCUUGGCCAGAUUAGCAUUCAUUUUAUUUUGUUUUGUUUCGUUUCAUUUUAUUUUAGUAGGGACGGGGUUUUGCCAGGUUGCCCAGCUGGUCUCGAACUCCUGCCCUCACGUGGUCUGCCUGCCUCAGCUUUGCAAAGUGCUGAGAUUACAGGUGUGAGCCACAGCACGGGCCUAGCAUUUAUUUUUACCAUCAUUGUUUUCUGGGUCUUUAUUGCCUUAUGAGAAAACAUUGCAAAACUUAGAGGCUUAAAGCAGCGAUGCAUAAUUAUCCCCACCGGGCUGUGUGCUGACUGGGCCUGGCUGGGCGGUUUUUGCUGGUGGCUUUUUAUGUGGCUGCAAUCAGACGGCAGCUGGGGCAGGAUUCACCUGGAGACUUGAUUGGACUGGGCAUCUGAGACGGCUUCCGUGGGUAACCCCCCUAUAGGCAGAACCCUGGCACAGUUAGGGCUUGAGGAAUCUCUCACUUCAUAGUGUUACCACGCAGCGAUUUCCUUUUAUAUAAUCCUUUACAUAAUCAUAUAUUAGUUUAUAGAAAUAGGGCUUGACGAAUCCCUUUAUAGAAUCCUCUAUAUGUAAUCAUAUAAUAGUUGAUAGUAUGAGUGCCUAAAGAUAUUUCCCUACAUAUAUACCUAUAAUUAUAUCUUGGUUCAUAAUUGGAGGAAUGCCUAGAGUGGACACAGUGCAGAGCAUGAAUUAAGGAAUAAGCAGCUUAUAAUCGGAGGAAUGCCUAGAGCAGACACAGUGCAGAGCAUGAUUUAAGGGAAAACAGUUAUACCAGGACAGGAAUCCAUGGCCCAGGUGGCAGCCUUCAGUAUCAUAAAGACACCCGCUGUAUGGCGGGCUUGGAGCGAGAGCCUCUCCUCCUGAUAAAGGAGUUGUAGGACCUUGCUCCAGUUCUUGUGGAAGGCCGCCCUCAGACCGGCAAUCCACCUUGGUGACUGUGAACUCUAUCAGCUCUUGCUACUGUGCUGCUCGAAAAGCAUCUUCCCAUAGAACCCACUGGAAGCUGCCAGAAGGUCGUGGUAACCCUGAGAGCUCUGUCACUGCUGUGUGACUUAAAGCAUCCUAUAAAUCUUAGUAGCUUGCCCAUAGAUAGAAGCAUUGCACACUGCACCUUCUUCACUGUGCAUGGCCCACCUUCAAGCCUUGGUGACCUAAUGGGGGUGGACCCCUUGCUGCACACUGUCCACCUCCUGGCCUCGGUGACCUAAUGAGGGCAGACCCCAUGUUUUAUUGCUCACGACCCUAUCACUAUCCUUAAAGAUGGUUUCACUCACUGCCCUGCCCCCUAACCUACACACAACAAAUACUCACGCUUCUGGACAUUCGGGGCUUUGCCUGACUCUGCUCAUAGGUGGCGUGGCCCCCUGAGCCCAGCUGCGUUUUCCUUGUACGUCUGUGUCCUGUCUCUUCAUUUCUCGGAUCCUGUGCCUCAGCACAGCAUAAGGCUCACCCCACGACCCUGUGGGGCCCUCAGCCCUACAGCUUCUCCAAUCCUAUGUCCGUUGCGUCAGCCGGGAUGGGAGAACAGGCGCCCUCCCUCACUGUGAGUCUUGCUCUGUCGCCCAGGCUGGAGUGCAGUGGCGCCAUCUUGGAUCACUCCAGCCCCGACCUCCUGGGUUCAAGCGAUUCCCCUGCCUCAGCCUCACAAGUAGAUGGGACUACAGGUGCCCACCACCACAUCCAGCUAAUAUUUUGUAUUUUUAGUAGAGAUGGGGUUUCACCAUGUUAGCCAUGAUGGUCUCCGUCUCCUGACCUUGUGAUUCACCCGCCUCGGCCUCCCAAAGAGCUGGGAUUCCAGGCCUGAGCCACCACACGCAGCCCUAAUUUUUGUGUUUUUAGUAGAGUUGGUGUUUCACCAUGUUAGCCAGGAUGGUCUCCGUCUCCUGACCUUGUGAUUUACCCGCCUCGGCCUCCCAAAGAGCUGGGAUUCCAGGCCUGAGCCACCACGCGCAGCCCUAAUUUUUGUGUUUUUAGUAGGGUUGGUGUUUCACCAU
rnacentral:lncRNA from 1 species